rnacentral:rRNA from 1 species
AACAGGAUUAGAUAGCCUGGUAGUCCACGCCGUAAACGAUGAGUGCUAGGUGUUAGGCCCUUUCCGGGGCUUAGUGCCGCAGCUAACGCAUUAAGCACUCCGCCUGGGGAGUACGACCGCAAGGUUGAAACUCAAAGGAAUUGACGGGGGCCCGCACAAGCGGUGGAGCAUGUGGUUUAAUCCGAAGCAACGCGAAGAACCUUACCAGGUCUCGACAUCCCGAUGCUAUUCCUAGAGAUAGGAAGUUUCUUCGGAACAUCGGUGACAGGUGGUGCAUGGUUGUCGUCGGCUCGUGUCGUGAGAUGUUGGGUUAAGUCCCGCAACGAGCGCAACCCCUAUUGUUAGUUGCCAUCAUUAAGUUGGGCACUCUAGCGAGGCUGCCGGUAAUAAACCGGGGGAAGGUGGGGAUGACGUCAAAUCAUCAUGCCCCUUAUGACCUGGGCUACACACGUGCUACAAUGGUUGGUACAACGAGUCGCGAGUCGGUGACGGCAAGCUAAUCUCUUAAAGCCAAUCUCAGUUCGGAUUGUAGGCUGCAACUCGCCUACAUGAAGUCGGAAUCGCUAGUAAUCGCGGAUCGGCACGCCGCGGUGAAUACGUUCCCGGGUCUUGUACACACCG